rnacentral:rRNA from 1 species
UACGUAGGUGGCAAGCGUUGUCCGGAAUUAUUGGGCGUAAAGCGCGCGCAGGCGGUUCUUUUAAGUCUGAUGUGAAAGCCCACGGCUCAACCGUGGAGGGUCAUUGGAAACUGGAGAACUUGAGUACAGAAGAGGAAAGCGGAAUUCCACGUGUAGCGGUGAAAUGCGUAGAGAUGUGGAGGAACACCAGUGGCGAAGGCGGCUCACUGGUCCGGUACUGACGCUGAGGUGCGAAAGCGUGGGGAGCAAACAGG